AUGGGCGCAGCCUGAUGCAGCCAUGCCGCGUGGGUGAAGAAGGCCUUCGGGUUGUAAAGCCCUUUUGUUGGGAAAGAAAUCCAGCCGGUUAAUACCCUUGUGGAUUGACGGUACCCAAAGAAUAAGCACCGGCUAACUUCGUGCCAGCAGCCGCGGUAAUACGA
rnacentral:rRNA from 1 species